rnacentral:rRNA from 1 species
UUAAGCUACUAAGAGCGCACGGUGGAUACCUUGGCGUCAGCAGCCGAAGAAGGACGCAAUAAACUGCGAAAUGCUACGGGGAGCCGUUAUGGGCUACGAUCCGUAGGUCUCCGAAUGGGGCAACCCCGCUGAGUGAAGCUCAGCGACGCAUAUCUGAAUACAUAGGGUAUAGCGAGGUAAGUCCGGGAACUGAAACAUCUUAGUACCGGGAAGAAAAUAAAACAAAACAGUGAUUCCCUCAGUAGCGGCGAGUGAACGGGGAGGAGCCUAAACCGUUACGACGCAAGUCGUAGCGGGGUCGCGGGACUCCAUAAGGGAUGGGAUGAGAUUAGCCGAAGAGCUCUGGAAAGAGCCACCAUAGACGGUGACAGUCCGGUAAGCGAAAGUCUCUGAACCCCGGGAGUAUCCCAAGUAGUACGGGGCACGAGAAACCUUGUACGAAUCUGCCAGGACCAUCUGGUAAGGCUAAAUACUGACUGACGACCGAUAGUGAACAAGUACCGCGAGGGAAAGGUGAAAAGAACCCGAGAGAGGGAGUGAAAUAGAACAUGAAACCGUGUGCUUACAAGCAAUUGGAGCACUAUUUAUAGUGUGACAGUGUGCCUGUUGAAGAAUGAGCCGGCGAGUUACCGUACGUAGUUGGUUAAGCAGUUAAUAUGCGAAGCCAUAGGGAAACCGAGUCUGAUAAGGGCGUUGAUAAUUACGUGUGGUAGACCCGAACCCUGAUGAUCUAGGCAUGGCCAGGAUGAAGCGCGUGUAACAAUGCGUAGAGGUCCGAACCAACCGAUGUUGAAAAAUCGGUGGAUGAGCUGUGUUUAGGGGUGAAAUGCCAAUCGAAUCAGGAGCUAGCUGGUUCUCCCCGAAAGGCGUUGAGGCACCGCGUCAGAUUUAUCCUACAGGGGGUAGAGCACUAGUUCGGUGCGGGCGGAGAAAAUCCGUACCAAAUCGAGUUAAACUCCGAAUACCUGUAGCGUCAUUAUCUGGCAGUGAGAGUGCGAGAGAUAAGUUCCGUACUCAAGAGGGAAACAGCCCAGACUACCGACUAAGGUCCCAAAAUUCAUGCUAAGUGAUUAAGGAGGUGGAGUUGCAUAGACAACUAGGAUGUUGGCUUAGAAGCAGCCACCAUUCAAAGAAAGCGUAAUAGCUCACUAGUCAAGCGACUCUGCGCCGAAAACGUAUGGGGCUAAGCAUGAUACCGAAAUCGUAGGAUCGGAGUAAUCCGAUCGGUAGGGGAGCGUUCUGUUGUAGGACGAAGUGCGACCGGAAGGACGCAUGGACGAAGCAGAAGUGAGACUGUCGGCUUAAGUAGCGAAAACAUUGGUGAGAAUCCAAUGCACCGAAAGACUAAGGGUUCCCACGCAAGGUUCGUCCACGUGGGGUUAGCCGGGAGCUAAGAUGAGGCCGAGAGGCGUAAUCGAUGCACAACGGGUUAAUAUUCCCGUGCUACCUUGUAACCGCUAGGAGCUAAGUCGGGACGCAGGAGGCUAUACACAGGGGACUGAUUGGUUGUCCCUCCAAAGGCGUAGCUAGUCUGGGUAGGCAAAUCCGCCCGGGCGUUUUAACGUAAGGCCGAGUAGGGAAUGCUCUACGGAGCAAAUUGUGUAGAUGCCACGCUGCCGAGAAAAGCGGCGAAAGCCAGGUUACAUGGUACUCGUACCCGAAACCGACACAGGUAGUCAGGUAGAGAAUACUAAGGUGCGCGAGAUAACUCUCUCUAAGGAACUCGGCAAAAUAACCUCGUAACUUCGGAAGAAGAGGUGCCAUAUUAGGGUGUAAGACUUCGCGUCUGAAGCCUGAGAUGGUCGCAGCGACGAGGCUCAAGCGACUGUUUAUCAAAAACACAGGUCUCUGCUAAACCGUAAGGUGAUGUAUAGGGGCUGACUCCUGCCCAGUGCCGGAAGGUUAAGUGGAUCGGUUAGCGCAAGCGAAGCUGAGAAACAAAGCCCCGGUGAACGGCGGCCGUAACUAUAACGGUCCUAAGGUAGCGAAAUUCCUUGUCGGGUAAGUUCCGACCCGCACGAAUGGCGUAACGAUUUGAGCGCUGUCUCGGAGAGAGACUCGGCGAAAUAGGAUUGUCUGUGAAGAUACGGACUAGGCGUGCCAGGACAGAAAGACCCUAUUGAGCUUUACUGUAGGCUGAAAUUGUCUGCGGGCUAUAUCUGCGCAGGAUAGGUGGGAGACUUUGAAGUCAGGAUUUUGGUUCUGAUGGAGUCAACGUUGAGAUACCACUCUGAUGUAGCUAGCAUACUAACCUGAUUCCGUUAUCCGGGUCGGGGACAGUUUCAGUUGGGCAGUUUGACUGGGGCGGUCGCCUCCUAAA